GAUGGACGCUAGCGGCAGGCCUAAUACAUGCAAGUCGAACGGCCCCGACACUUCGGUGUCGGGGUAGUGGCGCACGGGUGCGUAACGCGUACACAACAUACCCUUUACAGGGGGAUAGCGGCGGGAAACUGCCAGUAAUACCCCAUGUCCUUGCGAGGUGGCAUCAUUUUGCAAAGAAAGUUCAAGCGGUAAAGGAUUGGUGUGCGUCCGAUUAGCUAGUUGGCGGGGUAACGGCCCACCAAGGCGACGAUCGGUAGGGGGUGUGAGAGCAUGGCCCCCCCACACGGGUACGUGAGACACGGACCCGACUCCUACGGGAGGCAGCAGUAAGGAAUAUUGGAC
rnacentral:rRNA from 1 species